AUUUUGAAAUUAAAAAAAUAAUAAUAAUAAUUUAUGAUUUUAUUAUUAAAAAGAUAUAAAAAAAUAUAACUUUAACAUAGUCUACGAGUGCAUAAAUGAAUGGACUAGAUAAGUAUGGAAAUCUAAAAUUCUAAUGGAAAGUGUAACUAAGAAAAGAGACCACUUAAAGACCAAUACAAAGAUGGAUAAACAAAGUUGAAAAUAAUUAAUUGGAAAUUGGAAUACAGAAUGGAGUAUAUAAGCUUAAAGGAUCCAUCACAAGUUUUAAUUAAAACACUGUGCGUCUGCUGUGUCUGGAAGAACGCGUUUGAAUAACGACCGACAGUGCACGCUCUUAUCGAUAACGGAAUUAUUAAACAUAUAAAGCAUAUUUAUUCGUUAAAAAACAAAAAAAUGUGUGCGUUUGACGACAAUUUUACAACGACUAUUCUGCAUCUGUCACGGCCACAUUACUACGCUGGAACAUUUCUUCAUUUAUUAAAAUGUGUACAUGAUUAUAUUGUCUUAUAGUAAUUGCAAUAGUUAAUUAUUUAUUUAUUUAUUUACUGCGGAGAUAGCUAAUGCAGUCAUUACAAAACACAUUAAUUAAUGUUAUAUAUUAAUAUAUAUAUUAA